rnacentral:rRNA from 1 species
AUGCCGGAUGAUGUUAAUGAUAUGGCUAUUAUGCUAAUUCCUAAGGUUCCUCAUCCCAAGGACCUGAAAGACUUUAGGCCAAUAAGCUUGUGCAAUGUUAUAUACAAGAUCAUCUCAAAAUGCAUGGUCAACAUAUUGCGGCCUAUUCUAAAUGACCUCAUCUCUGAAAAUCAGAGCGCCUCCAUCCCGGGGAGGCUGAUCUCUGAUAACUCUAUAAUUGUGUUCGAAUGUAUUCACCAUAUUCAGUCGGUAAGGAACAAUGCAACUGGUCUUUGUGCUUACAAGCUUGAUCUCUCUAAGGCCUAUGAUAGGGUGGAUUGGGUGUUCUUGGAAAAGGCCUUGGCUAAAUGGGGCUUCUCGCCCUCCUGGAUUGCUCGUGUUAUGGCAUGUGUUUCGUCGGUGAAAUACUCGGUAAAAUUUAAUGGGAAGCUGCUGGAGUCCUUCUCUCCGUCGAGGGGACUCCGUCAAGGUGAUCCACUGUCUCCUUUCCUCUUCUUAUUUUGUGGACGAUGCUCUUUCUGCGUUGGUUGA